GUCUACGGCCAUACCACCGUGAGCGCUCCUGAUCUCGGAAGCUAAGCAGGGUCAGGCCUGGUUAGUACUUGGAUGGGAAUCUCCCCUCCCGCCCCGUGUUAAAAUUUAUUCCUGAGUAUCCUGUGUACUUUAUCCU
rnacentral:rRNA from 1 species